UACGGAGGGGACUAGCGUUGCUCGGAUUGACUGGGCGUAAAGGGCGCGUAGGCGGUUCGUACAGUCAGACGUGAAAUUCCUGGGCUCAACCUGGGGGCUGCGUUUGAUACGUGCGGACUUGAGUGCGGAAGAGGGUCGUGGAAUUCCCAGUGUAGAGGUGAAAUUCGUAGAUAUUGGGAAGAACACCGGUGGCGAAGGCGGCGACCUGGUCCGAUACUGACGCUGAGGCGCGAAAGCGUGGGGAGCAAACAGG
rnacentral:rRNA from 1 species